rnacentral:misc_RNA from 1 species
GAUGAAGAACGUAGCGAAAUGCGAUACGUAAUGUGAAUUGCAGAAUUCAGUGAAUCAUCGAGUCUUUGAACGCACAUUGCGCCCCCUGGUAUUCCGGGGGGCAUGCCUGUCCGAGCGUCAUUGCUGCCCUCAAGCACGGCUUGUGUGUUGGGCCUCCGUCCUCCUCCCGGGGGACGGGCCCGAAAGGCAGCGGCGGCACCGCGUCCGGUCCUCGAGCGUAUGGGGCUUCGUCACCCGCUCCGUAGGCCCGGCCGGCGCCCGCCGGCGACCCCCCUCAAUCUUUUCAGGUUGACCUCGGAUCAGGUAGGGAUACCCGCUGAACUUAAGCAUAUCAAUAAGCGGAGGA